rnacentral:rRNA from 1 species
UACGUAGGGUGCGAGCGUUGUCCGGAAUUAUUGGGCGUAAAGGGCUCGUAGGCGGUUUGUCGCGUCGGGAGUGAAAACACCGGGCUUAACUCGGUGCUUGCUUUCGAUACGGGCAGACUAGAGGCAUGCAGGGGAGAACGGAAUUCCUGGUGUAGCGGGUGAAAUGCGCAGAUAUCAGGAGGAACACCGGUGGCGAAGGCGGAUCUCUGGGCCGAUACUGACGCUGAGGAGCGAAAGCGUGGGGAGCGAACAGG